rnacentral:rRNA from 1 species
GACGAACGCUGGCGGCGUGCUUAACACAUGCAAGUCGAACGGUAAGCCCCGUUCGUGGUCUGUGGGAUGAGUGGCGAACGGGUGAGUAACACGUGAGUAACCUUCCCUUGACUCUGGGAUACACGUUGGAAACGACGUUUAAUACCGGAUAGGACCUUUGAUUGCAUGAGGUUGGGUGGAAUGGUUGGUCUGUCUUGGAUGCACUCGCUGCCUCUCAGCUUGUUGGUGAGGUGAUUGCUCAGCAAGGCGUCGUCGGCUGGCCUGCCUGGGCGGGGGACCACCCACCCUGGUAGUGCGGAGAGGCGCCGCAGCCUACGGGGGGCAGCAGUGGGGAAUAUUGUUGCAUGAGCGGAAGCAUGCUGAAGCAACGCCGCGUGCGGGAUGACGGCCGCCGGGUUGUUAAAAGCUUUUAGUAGGAAAGACGGGGCUCGGCUUGACGGUACCUGCAGAAAAAGGACCGGCUAACUACGUG